GAAGAUGUGAACAACAUUAUAAAACAAGUAAACCUAGGAACUGAUGGCAGGCAGGAUAGCUCAGUAGUAAAGAGUGUGCUAAGCAUGAGCAUAGCAAAGAAAGAAAGACCUAGUUGGUAUUUCUAUGUAACAACAGCAGAAUACAUGCUUUUCUCAAGUGCCCUUCAGAUGUCCUGCAGAAUAGACCAUUUGCUAAGCCAUAAAACAAGCCUUAAUAAAUUUAAAGGGAAAGAAAUCAAAGGAAAUACAUUCUCUGACAAGUAUAAAAUAAAAUUAGAAAUCAAUAACAAGGAAAUUUGGAGAAAGUUAUUUGAAAAUAGUGCAUUCCUCAAUGACCAAUAGGUUAAAGAAGAAAUCAAAAGAGAAAUUAGAAAAUAUUUCGAGGGCUGGGGUUGUGGCUCAGGGGUAGAGUGCUUGCCUUGAACAUGUGAGACCCUGGGUUCGAUCCUAAGCACCACGUAAAAAUAAAUAAGUGAAAUCAAGGUACUGUGUCCAACUACAACUAAAAAAAAUAUAUAUAUAUAUAUUAAAAAAAAAAGAAAAUACUUUGAGAUGAACAAAUGUGAACAUAUAACAUCCUGAAACUAUGGGAUACAGCUAACAGUUUAAAAAAUAAUUUAUAGCUGUAAGUACCUGUAAUUAAAAAAGAAGAUGAUUUCACAUCAAUAAUUUAAGCUGUUGCCUUACGAUACUAGAAAAAGAAGAGUAAAUCCAAGGCAAGCAGAAGAAAAGAAAUAAAGAGAUUAGAACAGAAAUUCAUGAAAUAAAGACCAGGAAACAGAGGAAGUCAAAGGAAACAAACAUUGAUUCUUUGGAAAGAUUGACCAAAUUGGCAAAUAAAAUAUUAAAAAUAAACCUGUUAUGGUUUAGAUAUUAUGUGUCCCACAAAAGUUCAUGUGUGAGAGAAUGCAUGAGAGUUUAGAGGUGAAAUGAUUGGGUAAUGGGAACCUUCACCUAAUUAGUGCAUUAAUCCUCUGAUAGGGAUUAACUGGGUGGUAACUGUAGGCAGGUAGGGUGUGACUGGAGGAGGUGGGUUAAUGGGGAUGUCAUUAGGGUUUUUUAUUUUGUCCAGGAAAGGGGAGAGCGAUCUCCCCCCCCCCACCUCCUUCUUGGUGGCCAAGUCCUGACCUGCUUUUAUUUGCCACAUUAUCUCACCAUUAUAUUCUGCUUUACCUUGAGCCCUGAGGAAUGGAGCCAGCCAUCUGUGGACUGAGACUCUGAUAUCAUGAGCCCUCAAAUAAACCUUUCCUCCUCUAAUUGUUCUUGUCAGGUCUUUUGAUCAUGGCAGUGAAAAAGCUGACUAAAACAGAAAUUGGUACCAAGAAGUGGGGUUGUUGCUGUGACUAACCUCACCAUGCAUUUCAGAAGAUUUUGGAGCUUUUUGGAAUUUGUGGGAGGAAUUUUGAAAAGUUUAGAGAUGCAAGCUGGAAAGUAUUAGGUUGUUGUUAAGAAUAAUAGAGGCCAGACACAUAUGAGUGGUGGGAACAUGAGGUUAAGAGAAUAAUUCUAUAAAAUGGACCCACCAUGCUGACCCUCACAUGCUUUCUUUUCCAAGAAGUGUAAAGUUUACUUGCA
rnacentral:lncRNA from 1 species